GACGAACGCUGGCGGCGUGCCUAAUACAUGCAAGUCGAGCGCAGGAAAUCAUCCGAACCCUUCGGGGGGACGUUGAUGGAAUGAGCGGCGGACGGGUGAGUAACACGUAAAGAACCUGCCCUCAGGUCGGGGAUAACCACGAGAAAUCGGGGCUAAUACCGGAUGGGUCAUCGGACCGCAUGGUCCGAGGAUGAAAGGCGCUUCGGCGUCGCCUGGGGAUGGCUUUGCGGGGCAUGGGCUAGUUGGGGGGGUAAUGGCCCACAAAGGCGACGUAGCAUAGCCGAGCUGAGAGGGUGAAGGGCAAGAGUGGUACUGAGACAGGGCCCAGACUGUUACGGGAGGCAGCAGUAGGGAAUAGUGCACAAUGGACGAAAGUCUGAUGGAGCAACGCCGCGUGAACGAAGAGGGCCUUCGGGUCGUAAAGUUCUGUUGUAAGGGAAGAACAAGUGCCGGAGGCAAUGGCGGCAGAUUGACGGUACCUUGCGAGAAAGCCACGGCUAACUACGUGCCAGCCGCCGCCGUAAAAC
rnacentral:rRNA from 1 species